AUUGAACGCUGGCGGCAGGCCUAACACAUGCAAGUCGAACGAGUAGCGGACGGGUGAGUAGUGUCUGGGAAACUGCCUGAUGGAGGGGGAUAACGACUAUAACCGGUAGCUACUACCGCAUACCAUCAGAUGUGCCGAGAUGGGUUUAGCUAGUUGGUUGGGUAACGGAGCACCAAGGCGACGAUCCUUAGCUGGUCUGAGAGGGUGACCAGCCAAACUGGAACUGAGACACGGUCCAGACUCCUACGGGAGGCAGCAGUGGGGAAUAUUGCACAAUGGGCGCAAGCCUGAUGCAGCCAUGCCGCGUGUAUGAAGAAGGCCUUCGGGUUGUAAAGUACUUUCAGCGGGGAGGCGUUACCCGCAGAAGAAGCACCGGCUAACUCCGUGCCAGCAGCCGCGGUAAUUC
rnacentral:rRNA from 1 species